rnacentral:misc_RNA from 1 species
GAUGAAGAACGUAGCGAAAUGCGAUAAGUAAUGUGAAUUGCAGAAUUCAGUGAAUCAUCGAAUCUUUGAACGCACAUUGCGCCCGCCAGUAUUCUGGCGGGCAUGCCUGUUCGAGCGUCAUUACAACCCUCAGGCCCCCGGGCCUGGCGUUGGGGGUCGGCGGAAGCCCCCUGCGGGCACAACGCCGUCCCCCAAAGACAGUGGCGGUCCCGCCGCAGCUUCCAUUGCGUAGUAGCUAACACCUCGCAACUGGAGAGCGGCGCGGCCACGCCGUAAAACACCCAACUUCUGAAUGUUGACCUCGAAUCAGGUAGGAAUACCCGCUGAACUUAAGCAUAUCAAUAAGCGGAGGA